rnacentral:rRNA from 1 species
UUACGGCCAUAUCGCGUUGAAACACUGGUUCUCGUACGAUCACCGAAGUUAAGCAACGUCCAGCCUGGUCAGUACCUAGAUGGGUGACCAUUUGUGAAUACCAGGUGCUGUAAG